AGGAUUGAAUUUUGUUGCUUUUCGCUGCAGGAAAACCACUGACAUUCCUGAAUACCACCAAGAGGAAGGCGAGCUAGUGGUUCCAAGCUACGGCUACUUCAUCCGAGGAGCUCAGACCACCUUUAACGGAGUGCUAAGGGAUCGCCAGUGGAAGUACAUCUUGUGCAGGAUGACCGACUUCGACUGUGAAUUUGAGAAUUUGUAGACGCGUCCGAGAGAAAUGGCAAAUUUGCCGCUACCCUUUGAUAUUGACAACCAUGUGGUUCGUAUGGUUACUUUUUCUGGGCCGAAUACAGGUCCGUAUAAUUUUACUUGCAUGCAAAACAGAAAAUGCACAUAAAAAAACUAAAAAACAUUUAAACAACAAGCGGCAUGAAGCUGCGGUCAGUUACAGGAAGUCCCUUUCAUGUCGGUUUGGAAACUACACACGCGUAUUGUUUGAAAACCACAAGAUUAAAACCAUAACUUUCUUCAUUCCGUCGUGUAAGCUUUUUUUAAUCCGGUCUGAUGUGAAUUUCUAUUCUCCCACCGCGUGGCAGAAAUAGUCCAACCGACUUAAAGCUCGAGGGGGUUUCACGCAUGCUCCAUUUAGUGCACUUUCCUCCUUGGUUCAGUUCACCCGGUCCGGUGCAAACUCCAGACAUCAAACUAGUCGAUCGGAUUCCUCAAGAACUUUGGCGGUUGGGUGAGAAAACGAUCCCACCUUGAGCUGAUCCAACUGAAAGAUGUAUCAGUGCCUCCGGAAUGUUCUAGGAUUGGAAGUUAAGGGCCCAGCACUUCUUGGUAGUUCCACUGGGAGGACACCGCAGCCAUUCCCAAAACCAGCCGAGAGACUCCCCGGACUGGCGGCUUUGU